AUACGGAAGGUCCGGGCGUUAUCCGGAUUUAUUGGGUUUAAAGGGAGCGCAGGCUGGGUUUUAAGCGUGCCGUGAAAUGUACCGGCUCAACCGGUGAGUUGCGGCGCGAACUGGAGCCCUUGAGUGCGUACGAGGAUGGCGGAAUUCGUGGUGUAGCGGUGAAAUGCUUAGAUAUCACGAAGAACUCCGAUUGCGAAGGCAGCUGUCCAGUCCGUAACUGACGCUAAUGCUCGAAGGUGCGGGUAUCGAACAGGAUUAGAUACCCUGGUAGUCCGCACGGUAAACGAUGGAUGCCCGCUGUUGGCGAUACAGUGUCAGCGGCCAAGCGAAAGCGUUAAGCAUCCCACCUGGGGAGUACGCCGGCAACGGUGAAACUUAAAGGAAUUGACGGGG
rnacentral:rRNA from 1 species